UUUCAACUAUUUUCUUAAACUCUCUCAAUUCUUUCAAUUGCUUUCUUAAACUGUCUCUUAACUGUUUUCAACUCUCUCAAUUCUAAUGACAAUCUUAUUCUUAGAGCUUUAGGGUUUGCCCCCUUAGUGUAAGCACUGCCUUGGGAGCCUUGAGCACUCAUUGAACUAUGAUGCACAAGGUUGGCACUUCCACACUUGUCUAACUAUGAUGUUAUGGGUGAUUGUUAUUGGCCAGGGGUUCAAUAUAGUGAAAUUGGGGAGGGUUAUGCAUGAUUAUUAAGGGUAUGGGUAGAAAACAUGUUUGUAGGAUUUACUUACCUAUUUGUGCAAUAGAAAUCAUGUUUAGGACAUGCAUUUUACAUGCAGGAAUCCUGCUCUUAGGUGUCUUACUUCCAUCUUGUUAGUUUUAUAACCACAAUCAGUUAAUAAUAAAGUUACUGUAAUUGCAUUUAGAUACCAUGUUUUAGGGCCUUUAUAUAUAUUAGAUAUCAUGUACUUAGGGUCUUUCUUUUUGCAACUGUUGAAUGCCUCACUAACUUUGUUAAAUAGACCUAAGACUGGUCAACAGGUUAUUUUUUUAAAAAAGGAAAUAAACACGCAUGUCCACUUUCUCUUAUGGAUAAAAC
rnacentral:lncRNA from 1 species